GGAGGUUGGUUUUCCCUGCUCAGGUGAUGUAUCGGCACCUCACGUCACGACGUGACAGAAUCGUUACCAUACUGGCAGUGUGGGGGUCAGGGGUUCGAGUCCCCUCGGCUCCA
rnacentral:tRNA from 1 species